CUUCUACUCCUUCGGUCCGGUAUUAAGUGUCGCGACUUCGUCUAGAUACGCAUGUACCUACAUACUAAAACGCGUCUAGAUACAUGCGUAUCUAGACAAAUUUGCGACACUUAAUACCAGAUGGAGGGAGUAGGAU
rfam:Brachypodium distachyon strain Bd21 chromosome 2, whole genome shotgun sequence.